GACGAACGCUGGCGGCGUGCCUAAUACAUGCAAGUAGAACGCUGAAGGAGGAGCUUGCUCUUCUGGAUGAGUUGCGAACGGGUGAGUAACGCGUAGGUAACCUGCCUGGUAGCGGGGGAUAACUAUUGGAAACGAUAGCUAAUACCGCAUAACAGUAGAUGUUGCAUGACAUUUACUUAAAAGGUGCAAUUGCAUCACUACCAGUUGGACCUGCGUUGUAUUAGCUAGUUGGUGGGGUAACGGCUCACCAAGGCGACGAUACAUAGCCGACCUGAGAGGGUGAUCGGCCACACUGAGACUGAGACACGGCCCAGACUCCUACGGGAGGCAGCAGUAGGGAAUCUUCGGCAAUGGACGGAAGUCUGACCGAGCAACGCCGCGUGAGUGAAGAAGGUUUUCGGAUCGUAAAGCUCUGUUGUAAGAGAAGAACGAGUGUGAGAGUGGAAAGUUCACACUGUGACGGUAUCUUACCAGAAAGGGACGGCUAACUACGUG
rnacentral:rRNA from 1 species